CCACAGGCCACCAGAGUCAAUGUCUGGCCUAGGCCCAUCCCCAGGGUGUCUGUUCUGCACAUCCUCAGCCUCCAACUGGCAGCCAUGAUCAUCUCCGCCAUCCAGAGGGGGCAGGAACUGACCCAGGAUCACACAGGGCUUGCCAACGAAUGAGAGCAGUCUUCCUCACUUCACCCGGGGUUGUGACAGAUCUGUGGCCUCCUCCCCACUCCGCUGAAGGGAAACUGAGAGACCCUCUAGGCUCUGUCUGCGGAUGAGUCCCCGUCUUAGCGGAAGCCCCAGGAUUAGCCAGCCCAUGGCCCCCGUGGCCAGCCGCCAGGUCAUGCUCCGGCCUGCUGCAAGACAGGGCAGACCUGGUGGCUCUUAGCAUGGAGCCAUCAAAGGCUCAGUGGCGACAGGGCUAAGCCAUGAGGAAGAUGCGUGACGCCACCCUGGUUGCACGGGGAAAACCUGACCGUGGCUGAGUUCAAGAAGUUCAAACUGAAGCUGGAAGCGGAGCCGCUGCGCCGAGGCUUCCAGAGCAUCCCGCGGGGCUGCUCCGGCAGCGAGAUGCCCCACAAAGCUGGUUGCCCUCUGCGGGAGCACUUCUGCUCUGAGCCCAAGGCAGUCAGGCUGCGCGACAUUGGCAUGCAGGAGGAGGCAGCUCGGUUUCAAGGGGUCACAUCAGUCCCCCACUCCCGGCAGAUCCCAUUCAACCACUCUUGAGUCCUGGCACAUGGUCUCUGGACACAGCCCCUCUUCGUCGCCAAGGACCCAGGCUCCUGGGUCCCCUGGUGCUCUGUUUCAUGUCGGGGACUCUCUUCCCUCUUGGCAGAUCUCGCUUUUCGGCCCACAUUGGGAGUUCUGGGGUUACCAGCAAAGUCUCUUUAGAAGUCUGGGGGCCAAGCAGAAGUGCAGUGCAACGCUGAUGUUUGGGGGCAAAGAUAACCCGCAGAAGCCCACCUCGCUCAUCACUUGCAAGAAGACGAUGGCAGCUACCCUGCCGGGGCUAAGGACCGCUCCCUGCCUCCAGAACCCGCCUCGUCCCGCUCCCGCACCUGUCGUUUAUUCUUCUACAGCCCAACAAAUGCUUCAUGGCAGAACUUC